UUACCAAAACAGCAAAAGUUCCGACCGCGCACUAGGGUCACUGGGGCUACUUACUGGUGCAGACGUGAGGCAUAUCAUAAGCACUUUGAAAGUGUUUUUGAAACUCAGACGUUGUGCUCCACAAACCUGGGGAGCGGCCACUAAACCGUAAUGGGCAAUCUUCUACCCUCCACCGAUUUAGCUUCCGCAAGUAGAAGCGCCCAACAGGGUUCCCUCGAGGCGCGACAACCCGGAACAGCGUGGCUACGCCUACCCACUGCGCCUGCGCGAAUAGCCAGCUCUGCGGACGGCGAAGAGGGGGACAGGCCCCCGCCCCGUGGCGGGGAGACCUAGAGGUUUGCGCGCCUGCGCGAAGGGCUGCACCGUGCGCUGCGUCGUUAAUUUUGCAACGAGUGCUGGGGAACUGCUGUUGGAGCCAUUGUUGUCGUUGUCUGCCGGGGAGAAGUGCGUGCCUUCGUCCCCGGACCCAGUCAUGGCGCUGCAGCUCUCCCGAGAGCAAGGCAUCACCCUCCGCAGGUGCUCCGAAAUCGUGGCUGAGUUAUGAUCAUUUGGAAUCAACAGUAUUUUGUAUCAGGGUGGCAUAUAUCCAUCUGAAACCUUCACUCGGGUGCAGAAAUACAGACUUAACCCUGCUUGUAACUACUGAUCCUGAGCUCAUAAAAUACUUAAACAAUGUGGUGGAACAAUGAAAAGGGCAUGAACAUCCCUAUGGAAUUAAAAUGAGCCGCCUUCCAGCUACUAGGUUCCUGCCUGAGGGACUGGACGAUUCUGCCUCUUCUUUCAUCCUGAAGCCCAGGCACCUGGCCAGGAAUCAACAAGGUAGAGAUUCCCACUGGAAGAGUUAAAAAGAGUGCCAGCGCACGCCUGGCCUGUUGGAAGGGCUCGGGUACUUGUCCGGACUCCCCCAGCCUGGCUCUACCAACUGCAAAACCAGGACAGCUCUUUGGCACUUCUCUCACAUGCAUGUGUGACAAUGACAAGCUGCCCAACCCUAUUCUGGAUCUGCUUGAUUUUAUUAAUCAAAAAUGGCCGCUCUCAAGAGCUGUCUUCUGGACAGCGACCAGUGCAGAAUCCUGCAGAGCCUUAAAGGAGCAGCUCAAUUCCAGGGACAAAGUGGACUGGGAUGGUGAAUCCAUCUAUGUGGCAGUGGCGGUCUUAAAGGAUUUUCCUGAAAAUAUCCAAGGAAGUGUAUUUUCAUCCAGUCUCUCUGAAAAUGGCUAGCCAUUCCUGAGCAAGGGGAGAGCGAAGAUGAGAACAUAACUGCCACCCGGAGUUUUUUUAGACCCAAGAUUCACAGGUGAGGUGGGAUUUCUAGCGAUACCAUGUGAAGAAGAGCGCCCUGUUCUUGCCUGUGUUACAGCUUAGUCUGGUGCAAUUUCUCAUUGCAAACUGCCUCGAGAUAUUUGGAGAAGACGUCCCUUCCCUGCUGGGGGAGAGCUCGGGGAAUGGUGGUGCCAGUGAGGCUACAGGUACUCUGCAUGAUUCGGUUGGCUUUGGUGAGAAACAGACAGCAAGCGGGUUGCCAGGUUUCAUGGGAGAUGCUCAGACAGCGCUGUUCUGGAGCCUGCAGCGCUUCCCAAGGGCACUGAUUUCCACCUGCUCCUUCUCCCAAAGGCUGGCACACGGGUCACGGGAGGUUUCCCACCAUUGUGAGACCAAAGAAGAGAUAAAACAAGGUCUCUGACUUGAAGGGGUUGCUAGUGCAGAUCGUUAACAGCAUUAGGAGACAUCAUGGCAAGAUUCAUUGUUUGGGAAUCUUUCAAGCAAUGCUUCCCAAAGUACGCCUAUACACAUCAUAAUAGAUGGACUGUGUUUGAAAGUGGAUUGAAAGGCCUAGAGCACAGCCUGUUUGACUCACCCCACACCACCCCUGCCUUUUUCUGCUCUGUGGCCCUUGAGGCACCACAAGAUUCCAGUGUUCUCUGAAACAGGCUGGAAAGAACCAGAAUCAUUGACAAAGUCCAACUUGACUUUGUGUCAAACAGCAUUUCCAGAGUGUAAAUACCUGUGCCUCCAUUUACCAGUGUGUUAUCUUGGGCCAGUUAUUCUAUCUCGGUCUCAAGUUUCCUCGCCUAUACAAUGUGUAUGAAAAUGUGUGUGUGAAUCUGAGGAUUGUUGUGUAGAUUAAAUUAUAGAUAUAAAAUAAAAUUGGGAAAAAAAAUAGAAUUUGCCUUAAGACUAAAGUUAAAGUUAUUUGAUCCCAGCUAAUCAUGGCUAACUAGCAGCAGUUUGUUUUAUAAUGUAGAGUUUUUAGAUUCAGAACCUGCAAAUGUGUAUCAUGCACCCCUUCAUAUUUUGACAUUUCUUAGUUUUAUGAUACUUACUUCCAUUGCUUUUUGUCAAUUUUUAGGAAAAUACAUUUGAUCAGGGGUUUAGAUUAGUCUUGUAUCUGAGAACUUGCUUAUUCUAAUAUAACUAUUUGUUUUUCCUUUUAUCCGUGACAACAAAAGAAUCUUCUUGCAUCUCAACCAGUGACAGUGACAGUGACAGUGAUUCACAAAUGGCGCAACUAGAGUAUGAUGCCGAGGCCCCACCAAACAUGU